AGGAUGAACGCUGGCGGCGUGCCUAACACAUGCAAGUCGAACGUCCUGUCUCGCAAGAGGCAGGGAGUGGCGGACGGGUGAGUACCACGUGGGUUAUCUACCGUGAGGUGAGGAAUACCGGCGAGAAAUCGCCGACAAGACCGCAUAGCCCUCUCUGGUGAGAGCCAGAGAAGGAAAGCCUCGCAAGAGGCGCUGGAGGAGGGGCCUGCGUCCGAUUAGCUAGUUGGUGGGGUAAGAGCCUACCAAGGCGUCGAUCGGUAGCUGGUCUGAGAGGACGAUCAGCCACACUGGGAUUGAGAACGGCCCAGACUCCUACGGGGGGCAGCAGUGAGGAAUUUUCGGCAAUGGGGGAAACCCUGACCGAGCAACGCCGCGUGCAGGAAGACGGCCUUCGGGUUGUAACUGCUUUCUUUGGGACGAGCAAGGACGGUACCAGAGGAAUCAGCCCGGCUCACUACGUGCCAGCAGCCGC
rnacentral:rRNA from 1 species